rnacentral:misc_RNA from 1 species
GAGAUUAAUAAUUGCUAUAUAUGUGUAUAAAAAAUAUAAAGAAAUUUCCAUUUGGAGAAAAUUUAAUUUCUACACAGGCACCUGUUUAAUUUUUUUUUAAAUUUCACGAAAGAAAGUUAUUUAUAAUAUCUUAAUUUUCUAUUAAAAAAUUAUUAAUAUUCCUUUCUGUGUAAAGAUAAAGACACUAAAAUAAUGUAUGAAGUUUAUUGAACGGAAAGAAGCGAAGCUACCACCAUUCGUGGAAGCCUCUUCAGUCGACUGCCACGGCGGCAAUAAUUUAUCCCGUCUCUCACCUUCUUCACAUCCAGGUCUCCUUUCAGAGCACAGAAACAAUGAAGAUUUUGGAGAGCUUUGGGGCAGAAGUACUUUUCCGGAUUCUUUUCUUCCUAUUGUAUUUAUACACAGAUAAUCUGAAGCCAUUUGAAAGACAUAUUCAACCAGAAGAAUUAUGGUUGUAUAAGAAUCCUGAAACUCCCAGUUAUAUUCCGGUUAAAUUUUUGUGGGUCAUUGUAACUAUUUUACCUUUAGUUUCAAUUGUGUCUGCUUAUAUCAGGAACAGAAAUAAAACAGAUGUGACAUGUGCUGUUUUGGGUGUGACUUUAUCUAUAUUCUUUACUGCUUCUCUUACAAAUGUGAUAAAAAUCAUUUUUGGACGGCCCCGUCCUGACUUCUAUUGGCGGUGUUUCCCUGAUGGGAAAUUCGUUGCUGGCAUGUUGUGUACAGGUUUACAGGAGAAAAUCACUGAAGGUCGGAAAAGCUUUCCAAGUGGACAUUCCUCAAUUGCUUUCUCUGGUUUAGGGUUUACAACUCUAUAUUUAUUUGGGAAACUACAUUAUUUUGGACAACAUGGUUUUGGAAGUACCUGGCGCUUUAUCACCUGUAUCACUCCCAUAUUCAUUGCUAUGUUAGUGGCUCUGUCGCGUGUCUGUGAUUAUCACCACCAUUGGCAAGAUGUCACGGUUGGAUCGUUACUUGGAUUUAUAGUUGCCUACAACUGUUAUCGUCAGUGUUAUCCUGCAUUGAACUCUAAUUUCUCCCAUAUGCCAUUAUCAUCAAUCCCAUCAUAUGAAGCAAACCUUGAAUCCAACACGAUAGGUGCGUGAUGAAAGCCAUAAUUGCCGUCUGUUUCUGCUUGUGCAUAUUUAAUUCAUACACCCUUUCAUAUAAGCAAAAUCCUGUUAAAUCUGACGAUUUGUUUGACGAACAGAAAGAUUUUGACAAAAAAGUCAGAACUAAGAGAAGGCUGCCUAUUUGUUCAAAGUA